GUCCCCUUGCAUGGGGACCUGCAUAAAAGAAGGUUCUUUGUGUGCCAAUAAACAGUUCAUCUUUGUACCCUUAUUCUGACUACGUAUGCUGUUUGGGAGUUCGUGUGUUUUACUGUGGGAAUUAUCCAGGAACACUAUUGGAUUUACAAUUGGGAAUUCGUCUACUAUAACUACUGAACGGAGGGCUAUAUUCACUGGGCUCUGGCUGUUCG